ensembl:misc_RNA Metazoa_SRP Metazoan signal recognition particle RNA
GCUGGGUGUGGUGGCGGGCACCUGUAAUCCCAGCUACUUGGGAGGCUGGGGCAGGAGAAUCGCUUGAACUCGGGAGGCGGAGACUGCAGUGAGCCAAGAUGGCGCCACUGCACUCUAGCCUGGGUGACAGAGCGAGACUCCAUCUCAA